GAUCAUGGGCUCAGGAUGAACGCUAGCUACGGGCUUAACACAUGCAAGUCGAGGGGCAUCGGGAAGAAAGCUUGCUUUCUUUGCUGGCGACCGGCGCACGGGUGAGUAACACGUAUCCAACCUGCCCUUUACUCGAGGAUAGCCUUUCGAAAGAAAGAUUAAUACCCGAUAGCAUAAUGAUUCCGCAUGGUUUCAUUAUUAAAGGAUUCCGGUAAAGGAUGGGGAUGCGUUCCAUUAGGUUGUUGGUGAGGUAACGG
rnacentral:rRNA from 1 species